UCAAUGCACCGCAUCUUUCUAAUGCAAGUCGAGCGGACAGAAGGGAGCUUGCUCCCGGAUGUUAGCGGCGGACGGGUGAGUAACACGUGGGUAACCUGCCUGUAAGACUGGGAUAACUCCGGGAAACCGGAGCUAAUACCGGAUAGUUCCUUGAACCGCAUGGUUCAAGGAUGAAAGACGGUUUCGGCUGUCACUUACAGAUGGACCCGCGGCGCAUUAGCUAGUUGGUGGGGUAAUGGCUCACCAAGGCGACGAUGCGUAGCCGACCUGAGAGGGUGAUCGGCCACACUGGGACUGAGACACGGCCCAGACUCCUACGGGAGGCAGCAGUAGGGAAUCUUCCGCAAUGGACGAAAGUCUGACGGAGCAACGCCGCGUGAGUGAUGAAGGUUUUCGGAUCGUAAAGCUCUGUUGUUAGGGAAGAACAAGUGCGAGAGUAACUGCUCGCACCUUGACGGUACCUAACCAGAAAGCCACGGCUAACUACGUGCCAGCAGCCGCGGUAAUACGUAGGUGGCAAGCGUUGUCCGGAAUUAUUGGGCGUAAAGGGCUCGCAGGCGGUUUCUUAAGUCUGAUGUGAAAGCCCCCGGCUCAACCGGGGAGGGUCAUUGGAAACUGGGAAACUUGAGUGCAGAAGAGGAGAGUGGAAUUCCACGUGUAGCGGUGAAAUGCGUAGAGAUGUGGAGGAACACCAGUGGCGAAGGCGACUCUCUGGUCUGUAACUGACGCUGAGGAGCGAAAGCGUGGGGAGCGAACAGGAUUAGAUACCCUGGUAGUCCACGCCGUAAACGAUGAGUGCUAAGUGUUAAGGGGGUUUCCGCCCCUUAGUGCUGCAGCUAACGCAUUAAGCACUCCGCCUGGGGAGUACGGUCGCAAGACUGAAACUCAAAGGAAUUGACGGGGGCCCGCACAAGCGGUGGAGCAUGUGGUUUAAUUCGAAGCAACGCGAAGAACCUUACCAGGUCUUGACAUCCUCUGACAACCCUAGAGAUAGGGCUUUCCCUUCGGGGACAGAGUGACAGGUGGUGCAUGGUUGUCGUCAGCUCGUG
rnacentral:rRNA from 1 species